rnacentral:rRNA from 1 species
GGGGAAUAUUGCACAAUGGGCGAAAGCCUGAUGCAGCAACGCCGCGUGAGGGAUGACGGCCUUCGGGUUGUAAACCUCUUUCAGUAGGGAAGAAGCGAAAGUGACGGUACCUACAGAAGAAGCACCGGCUAACUACGUGCCAGCAGCCGCGGUAAUACGUAGGGUGCAAGCGUUGUCCGGAAUUAUUGGGCGUAAAGAGCUUGUAGGCGGUUUGUCGCGUCUGCCGUGAAAAUCCGGGGCUCAACUCCGGACUUGCGGUGGGUACUGGCAGACUAGAGUGUGGUAGGGGAGACUGGAAUUCCUGGUGUAGCGGUGAAAUGCGCAGAUAUCAGGAGGAACACCGAUGGCGAAGGCAGGUCUCUGGGCCACUACUGACGCUGAGAAGCGAAAGCGUGGGGAGCGAAC